AUCAGGUUGUGCGACUGACGGAAGCUGGGAGUACCCAGGGGGAACACAACACGAAGAAUUGCCGACCGUCUGGGCACCGUUU
rnacentral:ncRNA from 2 species